rnacentral:misc_RNA from 1 species
GGAAAUGUUUCGCCUUCUGCCAAGCCCCGUGAAAACAUAAGUCAAAGAGCCUCGCAGGUUGAUGUAGCUAAUGUAGCUGAUGAUGAUGAUAUUUCACGAGGCAAUUGGAUGGGCUACAUAGACGAAAAAAUGGGAGAAUUGGAUAUUAAAAUUACCGCUGCGAUCACCUCUGCUAAAAGAAGUAUUCUGUACGAUCUUAAUAAGAAAAU